rnacentral:rRNA from 1 species
UACGUAGGGUGCAAGCGUUGUCCGGAAUUAUUGGGCGUAAAGAGCUCGUAGGCGGUUUGUCGCGUCUGCUGUGAAAUCCCAGGGCUUAACCCUGGGCCUGCAGUGGGUACGGGCAAACUAGAGUGCGGUAGGGGAGAUCGGAAUUCCUGGUGUAGCGGUGAAAUGCGCAGAUAUCAGGAGGAACACCGGUGGCGAAGGCGGGUCUCUGGGCCGUAACUGACGCUGAGGAGCGAAAGCGUGGGGAGCGAACAGG